AUUGAACGCUGGCGGCAUGCCUUACACAUGCAAGUCGAACGGCAGCACGGGUGCUUGCACCUGGUGGCGAGUGGCGAACGGGUGGGUAAUACAUCGGAACAUGUCCUGUAGUGGGGGAUAGCCCGGCGAAAGCCGGAUUAAUACCGCAUACGAUCUACGGAUGAAAGCGGGGGACCUUCGGGCCUCGCGCUAUAGGGUUGGCCCAUGGCUGAUUAGCUAGUUGGUGGGGUAAAGGCCUCCCAAGGCGGCGACCAGUAGCUGGUCUGAGAGGACGACCAGCCACAUGGGGACUGAACCCCGCCCCACUCCCCCACGGGGGGGAGCAUGGGGGAUUUUUGGAAAGGGGGCAAAACCCUGCUCCACAAACCGCGGGUGUGGAAAAAGGGCCUUGGGGUUGUAAACCACUUUUUGCCGGAAAAAAAUCCUUGGCCCAAAAACGGUCGGGGGAUGCGGUAACCGGAAAAAAAAGCACCGCUAAAUACCGG
rnacentral:rRNA from 1 species